UAAAAUGAGGUAUGCCUGUAUCUGCAUAGAUUCUGUAAAAGUGCAUGAGGUAUGUGAUGCCUGCCAGUGAAAGAUAGGACUAAUCACAAAAUGAUUCUUAGCUGCCUCACUUAAGCAAAAUUUGACUUCUCUGGCCUCCAGGAACUCUGGCUUUCCUAACAGGUCUCAACCCUUCCUGGCCUGUUUGUUCCAGAUCCUCCCUCUCUGUGCAUGCUCCAACUGUUCCUGUCCUCUUAACCUUCCCCGCUCCUUAGUGAAGCUUCCCCGGCACCAUGUUGCCUUCAUAUUCUAACCUGCAAUUGGCGAGCACAGUGAGAACAUCCAAACCAGGACAAAUGCAGAACCCAAGAGAGUAGACAGUAUUGUCUCUAAUGAGUCCAGUGUUCCCACCACUUAACAGCCCUGUCAGUCUCAGUCAGCCCUCUUUGAUGCUUCCCCCCAGGGUAUUUUAACGCAAAUUUCAAGCAUGUUGUCUUACCCAUAAAUU
rnacentral:lncRNA from 1 species